rnacentral:lncRNA from 1 species
CUUAAAUAAGAAAUUUUGGACAAAAAGUCUAACUACACAUGCCAGAAACUUGAAACAACGUAAAAUUUAAUGCCUUGCAUAUUAAAACAAAAACAACCAAUACAACAACAUAGCUAUAGCAAAUAAAUAAGACCAAAGCCGUAGAGAACCAUUUAUGCGAUAACUCCACUUAUUUAAGUCGCGUCUUAUGUAAGUCGCGACUUAUUUUGUCACGUAUAAAUGGCCCUAUUGUUAAAAGUUGAAUUAACAUUAUUUUCUCACUCUGUUAACUGCAGGUGUACCAGCUGCACAUGAUAGUGCUUAGUGAAACCCAUGCAUAAAUUGGAACUCGUGUAUUGAAUAUGUAUUUCGCAUUGCUGUGCAUGCUGUAUUUGCAUGUGCUGCGCGCAUGCUCAAUUAAAAGACAUAUAAACCAAUAAGUUAGCAUAAAAUAAUCAGGUGUAUGUGAACAUAUAUAUAGUGUUCCCUACACAAGUAG